CCCUUGCCCCUGUUUACACUCUUCACUUGCCCUGGAGCUGCUGAUUUGCAGCAGAAUGGGAAUUCACUGGUGGAUUGACCCAGACUAUGAGCCUUACAUCAGGAGGACAAGAAUCCCAUUGAAUUUCUUCUGAGCUGAGGUCAACUGAGCUAAAGGCUUUCCCACUGUGCUGGGUCCUGCUUGUUAUAUCGGGUUCAAAGGCUCACAGUUUGCCUUCUGUUGUCGUAUCAGAGUUCUCCCAGCUGGCUGCUGAUCCAUUGGCUCUCUGAACCAAGAGAAAGUAUCCAAAGCUACUGUAUUUUGGCUAAGAUCCUCCAGCUAGAUUUCCCAUAUUGGGCUUCCCUAACUAAUCAUUUUGUGCAGAGUCUCCUUGGGGGAUACUUUGGAUACUUGCCCUGGUAUGUGUUCCCCUCUGCCCAAUUCAGACAUUUCCAGAAGUCCUUGCAAGAUAUCUUAAGCAGGAAGAUUUUUGCAUUCCAAAAGUUUGUGAAUUCUGUCACUCCAAAAUCUGGUCAGAAACUUGAUCUAGGGAAAGCAGCAGAAGAACGUCACUUUGGAGCAAGGGACAUCGUCACUUAGAGCUCCUUGGAAGGGACAUAUUGUGCUGGAAGCCAUUCAGGUCAAGGUUCCUUCUACUCUUCAGCAUUUAGUUUCCAGUUUGAAUCAUCAGAUUUAAGUGAAUCAUCAAAUUUAAGUGAAAACAGUAAGACAGUUUCAAAAGAUUACAGCAACAUGGAGUUGACCAAAACAGCCAGCGAAUUAGCAUUCACUAUUCAGAAACAUCAGCUGUUUGCUGCUAUGGCCGACACCUUUCUGGAACAUAUGUGUCGUUUGGAUAUCGACUCAGAGCCCAUUGUUGCCCGAAAGACUGGAAUCGUCUGCACCAUUGGCCCAGCCUCCCGAUCUGUGGACAAGCUAAAAGAAAUGAUAGCAGCUGGAAUGAAUGUGGCUCGUCUAAACUUCUCCCAUGGAACUCAUGAGUACCAUUCAGAAACUAUCAAAAAUGUGCGCACAGCUACAGAAAACUUUUCUUCUAAUCCUGUUUAUUACCGGCCCAUUGCUAUAGCCUUGGACACCAAAGGACCAGAGAUCCGGACAGGACUCAUCAAGGGUAGUGGCACAGCUGAAGUGGAGCUAAAGAAGGGCAGUAAUCUCAAAAUAACUUUGGAUAAUGCCUAUAUGGAUAAAUGUGAUGAAAAUGUCCUGUGGGUAGACUACAAAAACAUUUGCAAGGUGAUGAACGUUGGUGGCAAAAUCUUUGUGGACAAUGGGCUCAUUUCUCUUCUUGUAAAGGAGAAAGGUAAAGAUUUCCUUACAACUGAAGUGGAGAAUGGUGGUAUGCUGGGCAGCCAGAAGGGUGUGAACCUUCCUGGGGCAGUUGUAGACUUGCCUGCUGUAUCUCAGAAGGAUAUCCAGGAUCUACAGUUUGCAUUAGAGCAAGAGGUGGAUAUGAUAUGCGCAUCUUUCAUCAGAAAGGCUGAUGAUGUUCAUGCAGUCAGAGAGGUCCUGGGAGAUAAAGGAAGGGACAUCAAGAUCAUCAGCAAGAUUGAAAACCAUGAAGGAGUCCGAAGAUUUGAUGAGAUCCUGGAAGCUAGUGAUGGCAUCAUGGUUGCUCGGGGGGACCUGGGUAUUGAGAUCCCAGCAGAAAAAGUCUUUCUUGCCCAGAAGAUGAUGAUUGGAAGAUGUAAUCGAGUUGGGAAACCUGUUAUUUGUGCCACUCAGAUGCUUGAGAGCAUGAUUAAGAAGCCACGGCCCACACGUGCUGAAGGUAGUGAUGUAGCCAAUGCUGUUCUGGAUGGAGCCGAUUGUAUCAUGCUUUCUGGAGAGACUGCCAAAGGAGACUAUCCAGUAGAAGCUGUGCGGAUGCAACACUUGAUAGCUAGGGAGGCUGAAGCAGCCACAUACCACCGCCACCUUUUUGAAGGACUUCUUCGAUGCUCAACAUGCACAGACACUGCAGAAGCCAUGGCAGUGGGUGCAGUAGAGGCUUCUUAUAAGUGUUUAUCAGCAGCUUUGAUAGUUCUGACAGAGAGUGGCAAGUCUGCUCAUCAGGUGGCCAGGUAUCGUCCUAGGAUCCCCAUCAUAGCUGUGACUCGUUGUGCUCAGGCUGCACGUCAGGCCCAUCUUUAUCGAGGUGUCUUCCCUGUGCUGUGCAGAGAUGCUGUUCAUGAAUCAUGGGCUGAAGAUGUGGAUAUCAGGGUUAAGUUAGGCAUGAAUGUUGGCAAAGCUCACGGCUUUUUCAAGAAAGAUGAUGUGGUCAUUGUCCUAAAUGGUUGGCGUCCAGGUCCAGGCUUCACCAACACUAUGCGGCUGCUGGCAGUGCCAUAAAAGAGCAUUUGAAGAUGUUCUUGUGGGACUUCAGCAUGAUCCCUUCCCUGCUCCUGCCUGCAUCCAUUAGAUCUGCAACUGUUAUUGGUGUUGUCCAUACUUAGCUAGUAGAGGCUUUAUACAGCUAAAACACUCCUACAAAAAAAAAAACAAAAAAAAAACAACACAAUUAAAGUCUCUUCUUAAAGAAACUUAAUUAGACUUAUCUUCCUUCCUCCUCAACUAGAAACAUCAGUAUCAAUCAGUUUAGCACAGCUCUAGUGGUGUGUAAAGAUAGAGCAGCUGUGGCUUAGUUGGGGUACCACAGACCAUUUUUGACAUGGGAUUAAAGUACAUGCAUAAGUAUUGUGUUUUAAAUUGAUCUAGAUAUUCUUUGUACACACUUAAGUAAACAUUAGCCACAGUCUCUCUAAGUACAAGUUCUCAAUGUAUAUGGGCCUCUACUUUUCUGACUAGAGGAACUCU